rnacentral:tRNA from 2 species
GCGAAUAUAAAUUAAUGGUAGAUUUUUUACCUUCCAAGUAAAUAGUAUUGGUUCGAAUCCAAUUAUUCGCU